rnacentral:rRNA from 1 species
AUUGAACGCUGGCGGCAUGCUUUACACAUGCAAGUCGAACGGUAACAGGCCGCAAGGUGCUGACGAGUGGCGAACGGGUGAGUAAUGCAUCGGAACGUGCCCAGGCGUGGGGGAUAACGCAGCGAAAGCUGCGCUAAUACCGCAUACGAUCUAUGGAUGAAAGCGGGGGACCGUAAGGCCUCGCGCGAUUGGACCGGCCGAUGUCAGAUUAGGUAGUUGGUGGGGUAAAGGCUCACCAAGCCAACGAUCUGUAGCUGGUCUGAGAGGACGACCAGCCACACUGGGACUGAGACACGGCCCAGACUCCUACGGGAGGCAGCAGUGGGGAAUUUUGGACAAUGGGCGCAAGCCUGAUCCAGCAAUGCCGCGUGCAGGAAGAAGGCCUUCGGGUUGUAAACUGCUUUUGUACGGAACGAAACGGUCCUGGUUAAUACCCGGGGCUAAUGACGGUACCGUAAGAACAAGCACCGGCUAACUACGUGCCAGCCGCCGCUGUAAUAC